CCACACAGUCAUAUCACCCUGCAGCCCAAGACUGGUUGCCCACUGAAGCUAAGCAAGGUUGAGCCUGGUCAGUACCUGGAUGGGAGACCUCCUGGGAACACUAGGUUGCUGUUGGA
rnacentral:rRNA from 1 species